UGCUUGGUAGAGAGUGAUGUGUAGCUACAGGAUCAGAAGGCAGGAGACUGCAGUAUUGCCAAUAUUGGUCUGACCAUAAUGGGAAUACAAGAGGUAGCAGCCAUGAGUUACAGCAAUUGCUAACCCAGUGCUAAGGAAGGGGAUGUAUCCUUCUGAUGGUGACAAGGAUCAUGGAGGAGCUCCUCUCCUGCUACAGAGCAGCUGCUGCACCACCCAUUCUGCUGCAGUCUCAUCACUGGUUGCAAAGCUGGACACCAUUCACCCACCAGGCAGCCAGGAAAAUCCCCAGCCGCCGCUUACUGAGGGAAGAACAGACAUCAAUUAGUGAGUGGGAACAUCCUUCCCAUCAUCUGAUGGGGCGUCAUCUGAGAAGAGAAUAAUGCGGAGAGAAGUGCAGGAACAGCAUGUGACAAAUGAGGGAAACAGUUUGUUUAUAGGGUGCAGCAGCAGAAGGGUAAUCUUUUGUGAUGCAGCUUCAAACAGAGGAAGAAAAUCUGUCAGUCUCUGCGAACAAAGAGAAUAUUCUGGAAGCUGCCACGCUCUGUUUGCUGUUGUUAUUUGUCUGUUUUAAAGUGAGUAUUUACCCUUUUUCAUUUUAGUGGAAUGGAGUUGGGCACCGAAGCUGCAUUAUCUCAUCUGUUCCUAUGCAAUGCAGUAACAUCUGGAAGCAAAGGGAUGGAUGUGGCUGACCUGGCAGUGUGAACAGCCCCGUGAUGGGAUGGCAAUUAGCUGCACAUUUGUCAGUGUGGGAUUCAAGAGUGUAAAACUCAGCCGUUGCUUUGGAGCUGACAAUCCUGGGCUGUGCUCAUUGCAACCAGUGGAGUUUAGGACAUGGUUCAGCUGAGAUGACAUGAGAUAAGCUCAGCUGUAGGAUAAGCACUGCCUGCAGGCCCUGGGCUGUUCUCUGUAUUACUGCACAGUGUGGGCCUGCUGGGCAUCUCUUUGCAUGGAAACAGUGUCAGGUUCUGGGGAUCCCCAUCCCACUCUCUUUGCCUCUCUCUUUGCUGUGCUGUACCAUCCUGAUGCUCCAGUUGUGGGGUAUGUGGGGUGUGCAUACCCUGCAGGGUGGCAGAGGUGCUUGAUAAAUCACGGUGGGUCUUUAGAAAGGAGAGAACACUUUUCCUGCCUGCUGCCUUUUAUGCUGUAGGGAGGACUAAAAGCCCAGCAGUGCCAAUACACAGCUUUUAUGGAAUCAGAGAGUCAUAGAAUGGGUUGGACUGGAAGGGACCCAAGGAUCACCAAGUUCCAAAUCCCUUCCAAGCACACAGUUGCCGUCUACGAAGUCAAGCCCCAGCUCAUGUCAACUGCACCACUCAGCCUGGUGUGAUCUGCAAACCUACUAAGGGUACACUCAAUCCUA